CCUCGGAUCAGGUAGGGAUACCCGCUGAACUUAAGCAUAUCAAUAAGCGGAGGAAAAGAAACCAACAGGGAUUGCCUCAGUAACGGCGAGUGAGCGACCACCCCUCUCCCAAUAU
rnacentral:rRNA from 1 species